rnacentral:rRNA from 1 species
CCUACGGGUGGCAGCAGUGAGGAAUAUUGGUCAAUGGGCGCGAGCCUGAACCAGCCAAGUAGCGUGAAGGAUGACUGCCCUACGGGUUUUAAACUUCUUUUAUAAAGGAAUAAAGUGAGGCACUUGUGCCUUUUUGUAUGUACUUUAUGAAUAAGGAUCGGCUAACUCCGUUCCAGCAGCCGCGGUAAUACGGAGGAUCCGAGCGUUAUCCGGAUUUGUUGGGUUUAAAGGGAGCGUAGAUGGGUUGUUAAGUCAGUUGUGAAAGUUUGCGGCUCAACCGUAAAAUUGCAAUUGAUACUGGCAGUCGUGAGUACAGUUGAGGUAGGCGGAAUUCGUAGUGUAGCGGUGAAAUGCUGAGAUAUCACGAAGAACUCCGAUUGCGAAGGCAGCUUACUAAACUGCCACUGACAUUGAUGCUCGAAAGUGUGGGUAUCAAACAGGAUUAGAUACCCCUGGUAGUC